rnacentral:rRNA from 1 species
AGUGAACGCUGGCGGUAGGCCUAACACAUGCAAGUCGAACGGCAGCACAGUAAGAGCUUGCUCUUACGGGUGGCGAGUGGCGGACGGGUGAGGAAUACAUCGGAAUCUACUUUUUCGUGGGGGAUAACGUAGGGAAUCUUACGCUAAUACCGCAUACGACCUACGGGUGAAAGCAGGGGAUCUUCGGACCUUGCGCGAUUGAAUGAGCCGAUGUCGGAUUAGCUAGUUGGCGGGGUAAAGGCCCACCAAGGCGACGAUCCGUAGCUGGUCUGAGAGGAUGAUCAGCCACACUGGAACUGAGACACGGUCCAGACUCCUACGGGAGGCAGCAGUGGGGAAUAUUGGACAAAGGGCGCAAGCCUGAUCCAGCCAUACCGCGUGGGUGAAGAAGGCCUUCGGGUUGUAAAGCCCUUUUGUUGGGAAAGAAAAGCAGCAGGUUAAUACCCCGCUGUUCUGACGGUACCCAAAGAAUAAGCACCGGCUAACUUCGUG